rnacentral:rRNA from 1 species
UACGGAGGGGGCUAGCGUUGUUCGGAAUUACUGGGCGUAAAGGGUGCGUAGGCGGCCUAUCAAGUCGGGCGUGAAAGCCCCGGGCUCAACCCGGGAUGUGCGUCCGAGACUGGUAGGCUUGAGUUCGGGAGAGGUGAGUGGAAUUCCCAGUGUAGAGGUGAAAUUCGUAGAUAUUGGGAAGAACACCGGUGGCGAAGGCGGCUCACUGGACCGACACUGACGCUGAGGCACGAAAGCGUGGGGAGCAAACAGG